GCCUGGUUCACUCAGUUGGUUAGGUGUCUGACUUCAGCUCAGGUUAUGAUCUCACAGUUUGUGGGUUUGAGCCCCACAUCUGGCU
rnacentral:tRNA from 1 species